CCUACGGGAGGCAGCAGUGAGGAAUAUUGGUCAAUGGACGAGAGUCUGAACCAGCCAAGUAGCGUGAAGGAUGACUGCCCUAUGGGUUGUAAACUUCUUUUAUAUGGGAAUAAAAUGUUCCACGUGUGGGAUUUUGUAUGUACCAUAUGAAUAGGGUCGGGCUAAUCCCGUGCCAGCAGCCGGGGUAAUACGGAGGUCCCGGGCGUUAUCCGGAUUUAUUGGGUUUAAAGGGAGCGUAGGUGGAUUGUUAAGUCAGUUGUGAAAGUUUGCGGCUCAACCGUAAAAUUGCAGUUGAAACUGGCAGUCUGGAGUACAGUAGAGGUGGGCGGAAUUCGUGGUGUAGCGGUGAAAUGCUUAGAUAUCACGAAGAACUCCGAUUGCGAAGGCAGUUCACUGGACUGCAACUGACACUGAGGCUCGAAAGUGUGGGUAUCAAACAGGAUUAGAUACCCUUGUAGUC
rnacentral:rRNA from 1 species